rnacentral:rRNA from 1 species
CGGGACGGGUGGGUAAUGUCUGGGAAACUGCCUGAUGGAGGGGGGUAACUACUGGAAACGGUAGCUAAUACCGCAUAACGUCGCAAGACCAAAGAGGGGGACCUUCGGGCCUCUUGCCAUCGGAUGUGCCCAGAUGGGAUUAGCUAGUAGGUGGGGUAACGGCUCACCUAGGCGACGAUCCCUAGCUGGUCUGAGAGGAUGCCAGCCACACUGGAACUGAGACACGGUCCAG